rnacentral:rRNA from 1 species
CCUGGCGGCUUUAGCGCGGUGGUCCCACCUGAACCCAUGCCGAACUCAGAAGUGAAACGCCGUAGCGCCG